rnacentral:lncRNA from 1 species
UUUAACUUUAUUUCCUUGAUUAGCUCUAAAAAAAUAAUCACCCGGCUGGACUUGGGGGAAGUUUUUUAGGGGCUGUUUGAAAGCAGAGGGCUCCUCUCCUGCAGGUGCUGCGGGGAUGCGCCUCACCAUGGGCAGCUACAAAAAUCCCUGCAAAGUGGUCCCUGCUGGCAAAAAGAACCCUCAAGACAAAACCCAAGGUUUUGUAUUGAAUUUUACCCUGCCAGAACACUGCAUGUAUUGAAAGAAAUCUUGCUGGGUCAGUGUGACUGUUCCGGUCGGCUCUCCUUGUCCUCAUUCGAAAGCCCUGCACAGCCCCAGCCCUGCCAGCUCCCCACAGCCAACCCCAGCAGCUUCACCACGAGAUCAGCCACACAGACCAAAAUUAACGAAGCUCCCGAUCGCUGAUAACGCAUUUAGAGUCCCCCCAGAUUCCAGAUUCCAGCUCUACAACCUCAGCAAGGACAGCCUCUUGGCUGUGCUGUAUUGCUCCAGGGCCACCUGCCCACCUUCGUGGACCUUCCUCCUCCUCCUCCUCCUCCUCCUCUGGCUGAUGGAGGAGACACCAGAUGUGCUCGCUGCACUUCCAGCAUCCCUUUGGUUUCUCUUCCUCUGCAUUUCUGCACUGGAGAGGGAUUUUGCACCGACAGCCGCGGCACUCGUUAAGUGCUCAGCACUUCCCAUGGCCUGCCAUGAACAGUUGUUAUCGGCACUAAUUAAUCUACCGGGGUAUUAAUUGGAAGAGGAAAUGCUUGCUGGAAAAGCAUGCCUGUCUCCUGCCCUUUCUUGAGAUCCCGACGCUGGAACUGUGAAUAGCCACCAGCAACAUGCAGAUGGAGAAAUGUGUUUAACAGCUCCUUUGCAAAGCUGAUAAAAAGCCCAAAAUUAACGUUACCCUAUGAAUUGCACGUAUAUAUGUGUAUAUAUACACACAUAGAGACAUAAAUAUAUACGAACCCUAUGAACCAGCUUUUGUUGGGUCCUCCCAUGCCUUGGAGGAGAGCAGGAUCCUGGCUGUUGAGGUCUGUAGGGCUCAGCCUACCCUCGGAUCCCCCAUGCCCACAUUUGCUCACUCUGAAAUGGAAAACUGCCUACGUCUCUCAGUUCAGGACGGCACCCCACUUCCCCUUUGGUUUCCUAGGAACCCCUGCUUUGUAUCUUAAAGUUGUAGUUAAGGAAUAAAAAUGCUGGCUCAGUGGCCAAGGAGGACUCGGGAAACAACACAUAUUUUUGGAAGCUACAAUAUAGCAGUGAUGAGAGCAGCAUCUCCUCUCUUGACUUCGCUAGCAAUCAGUUGGGCAAAUGUGCAGACAGAUCUCCUCCUUACUCAUGUCCCAAAAGCUGCAAAACUCUUGAAUUAAUUUUAUUUUUAAUUUAGUAAAAUAAAAUUAAUACUUCAAGUAGGAAACAUUUGAGGACAAGUUUCAGCUCAGAGCACUUCAUUAUGGCUGAAUUUUAAUCCUCGGUGCAUAAGAAGGAUUACCCUGAGAACGCUGACAUCACCUUAGAUAUAGCAGUAUGAAUAUGCUGCUGUCAUAAAUCUUCCCAGCCUUUAAUUUAUAAUAGGAAAAAUGUUGGUCAAAAAUAUCUUCUGUCCCAGCAACCUUCCCCUGGCUCAAAUGUGAGCCCCGGUGAGAGCACCUUUUGCUGAUCCAGAGAGAGCACAGAGUGCUGGGUUUGCCUGUUGCAAUUGGCGUAGAGGGAUAAUGGGUGAGGGAAAAGAAUAAAUACAAUUAAAAAUGACCCUUAAAACCUGAGCUCGGAGUAGGAAAAUUCCCCCUUGCACUGUACACAGCGGGAGGAUGGGGCAGCGGCCAAACAUCCAGCAAGGAGAGAUUAGAUUUGUAAGUGAAGCAUCAGCAGAUGUCUUAAAAGGUCCCUGGAGAGUUUGUAAUACUCUGGAAGAGCUGAGAGUAAUAAAAUGGAAUAAAAUCGAUUACAGAGGCAAGUUCCUACCCUGCCUGCCACACCUCCAGAACGCGCCCAGCUGCGCCUGGUGACUCCUGCAAGGGAGAGCUCUGCCUCUCUGCAUACCCUCCUGCUGCCCCAGUGCUGCUCAGCACCUCUGCCAUCACACGGGGUUUAGCUGAGUCCCUUCUGUCUGUAAGAUACCGCAGCACUGCAGAGGCAUUCAGAGAUUUGCAUGGCAGCGAUAGGGAAAAUACCAUCCCGUCUUCUGGUACUGAGAUUGGUCUGUAAAUAAAGCAAUUCUGUGC